AACAAUUCAAACCAGAAAACUAACAGCCUGGUUUACAUUUAUUUUAUGUUCCAGUACAAACUGUCUCUCUGCAUCCUUAAACCCAUAUGAUCAUUUUGCUUAUUUUAAAUUUUACACUUACUGGUAUUAUAUGUAUAUUAUUCAACCAUUCCUACAGAAAUAUGUAAAUUUUAUGAUUUAUUCCAUUAUCUUAGCUGCAAAUUAAAGCUCAAGGUCCUUAUAUAGAUUAUUAAAUAAACACACAAGUAAUGCAGAUACUUAAGUCAGUUUUUUGUAUGUCGCACAUUAACUCUAGUAUGCAUAAAUUGAAUAACUACACACAUUGCACUGUUGUUGCGAUUGGUGACGGUAGACACGCCUUUGAUAUUUUUAAAUAUCUGGUUUGUUGUUCCAGAGUCAUGGGACUUACAGAAGCCAUAUAUAUUUAUAGUAAUAUUUAUAGCUAUGGAUAUCCUCAUGCAUGUAUUUCUACA
rnacentral:lncRNA from 1 species